rnacentral:lncRNA from 1 species
ACAUUAAAUAAUACCUCUUGUAUUGUUGCUACUUGGUUUCGAUGGCUUCUCUCCAACCUUGCAAUAAUGUAUCUGACCCCUUCCAUAAUCUUGUGGGGUUGUUCAGGUGUCAAAUAGAAAAAUUUUGGGUUGAAGUAGUAACCUAAAAAAUAUAUAGGUAGAAAAAUGUCAUUUACAAUUUCAUAAAAAAAUGAUUUAAACUAAAACAAUUGUAAUGAUAUAAAUAUAUAUUUACCAGCAUAAUGAAUUGGACGUCCAAAUUUGGUGUUCCACCUCCUUUAUAUAAUCUCGAUCACUUUGCUAGGAAAAUUACACUUCUCUCCAAUAGCUG